ACCCCUCAAGCGUAGCUUGGUAUUGGAUAUCCGCGGGCCCUUUUACAAGGCUUGCGGGUCCGAAAAACAGUGGCGGUCCCCGAGGAUUUCGCGCGUAGUAAAUAUUAUCCCGCGUUGGAAAGAAUCGGUGGGCUUGCCAAAACCCCCCAUAAUCUCCAUAGAUUGACCUCGGAUCAGGUAGGGAUACCCGCUGAACUUAA
rnacentral:misc_RNA from 1 species